rnacentral:tRNA from 1 species
AAGAUUUUAUGUUAAUUAAACACGUAUCCUUCAAAGUUGCAAUUAUAGGGUAGUCCUGUAAGUCUUA